rnacentral:rRNA from 1 species
CCUACGGGAGGCAGCAGUGAGGAAUAUUGGUCAAUGGGCGCGAGCCUGAACCAGCCAAGUAGCGUGAAGGAUGACUGCCCUACGGGUUGUAAACUUCUUUUAUGAAGGAAUAAAGUGAGGCACGUGUGCCUUUUUGUAUGUACUUUAUGAAUAAGGAUCGGCUAACUCCGUGCCAGCAGCCGCGGUAAUACGGAUGAUCCGAGCGUUAUCCGGAUUUAUUGGGUUUAAAGGGAGCGUAGGUGGGUUGUUAAGUGAGUUGUGAAAGGUUGCGGCUCAACCGUAAAAUUGCAACUGAUACUGGCAGGCUUGAGUACAGUUGACGUAGGCGGAAUUCGUGGUGUAGCGGUGAAAUGCUUAGAUAUCACGAAGAACUCCGAUUGCGAAGGCAGCUUACGAAACUGCCACUGACAUUGAUGCUCGAAGGUGUGGGUAUCAAACAGGAUUAGAUACCCGGGUAGUC